rnacentral:rRNA from 1 species
GGCGUAUAGUGACGGUACCAGUCUGAAGCCCCGGCUAAUUACGUGCCAGCAGCCGCGGUAAUACGUAUGGGGCAAGCGUUGUUCGGAAUUAUUGGGCGUAAAGGGCUCGCAGGUGGUUUGUUAAGUUGGUGGUUUAAUCUCUGGGCUCAACCCAGAGUCAGCCAUCAAAACUGGCGAACUUGAGUACGAUAGGGGAUAGCGGAAUUCUCGGUGUAGCGGUGGAAUGCGUAGAUAUCGAGAGGAACACCAAUGGCGAAGGCAGCUAUCUGGAUCGUAACUGACACUCAUGAGCGAAAGUGCGGGGAGCAAACAGGAUUAGAUACCCUGGUAGUCCGCACCGUAAACGUUGUAUACUAGUUGUUGGUGGUUUCAACGCCAUCAGUGACGUCGCUAACGCAUUAAGUAUACCGCCUGGGGAGUAUGCUCGCAAGGGUGAAACUCAAAGAAAUUGACGGGGGCCCGCACAAGCGGUGGAGCAUGUGGUUUAAUUCGACGAUACGCGAGAAACCUUACCUGGGUUUGACAUGGAUUUGACUGGGGUAGAGAUACCCCUUCCCGCAAGGGCAGAUUCACAGGUGUUGCAUGGUCGUCGUCAGCUCGUGUUGUGAGAUGUUGGGUUAAGUCCCGCAACGAGCGCAACCCCUAUCUUCUGUUGCCAUCAUUAAGUUGGGCACUCUGAAGAAACCGCCGGUGACAAACCGGAGGAAGGUGGGGAUGACGUCAGAUCAGCAUGGCCCUUAUAUCCAGGGCUACACACGUGCUACAAUGGCCGGUACAGAGGGACGCAAUGCCGCGAGGUGGAGCAAAUCCCACAAAGCCGGUCUCAGUUCAGAUUGCAGUCUGCAACUCGACUGCAUGAAGUC